rnacentral:rRNA from 1 species
CGUAGGAUCUGCCCGGUAGUGGGGGACAACGUGUGGAAACGCACGCUAAUACCGCAUACGCCCUGAGGGGGAAAGCGGGGGACCUUAGGGCCUCGCGCUAUCGGAUGAGCCUGCGUGGGAUUAGCUAGUUGGUAGGGUAAAGGCCUACCAAGGCGACGAUCCCUAACUGGUCUGAGAGGACGACCAGUCACACUGGGACUGAGACACGGCCCAGACUCCUACGGGAGGCAGCAGUGGGGAAUAUUGGACAAUGGGCGGAAGCCUGAUCCAGCAAUACCGCGUGUGUGAAGAAGGCCUGAGGGUUGUAAAGCACUUUCAGUGGGGAGGAAGAGCGCUGAGUGAAUAGCUGAGCGAGUGACAUUACCCACAGAAGAAGCACCGGCUAACUCCGUGCCAGCAGCCGCGGUAAUACGGAGGGUGCGAGCGUUAAUCGGAAUUACUGGGCGUAAAGCGUGCGUAGGCGGUUUGUUAAGCCAGAUGUGAAAGCCCCGGGCUCAACCUGGGAACGGCAUUUGGAACUGGCAGGCUAGAGUUGGGUAGAGGGGAGUGGAAUUUCAGGUGUAGCGGCGAAAUGCGUAGAGAUCUGAAGGAACACCCGUGGCGAAGGCGGCUCCCUGGACCUAAACUGACGCUGAGGUACGAAAGCGUGGGUAGCAAACAGGAUUAGAUACCCUGGUAGUCCACGCGGUAAACGAUGCCG